ACCAGGUGUGGUGGUGCACACCUGUAAUCCCAGCCGCUGGGAGGCUGAGGCAGGAGGAUGGCGAGUUGAAAACCAGCCUCAGCAAAGAGCAAGGCACUAAGCAACUCAGUGAGAGCCUGUCUCUA
rnacentral:sRNA from 1 species